rnacentral:rRNA from 1 species
UGGGGGAUAUUGCACAAUGGAGGGAACUCUGAUGCAGCGACGCCGCGUGAGGGAAGAAGGUUUUCGGAUUGUAAACCUCUGUCUUCGGUGACGAAACGAGACGGUAGCCGAGGAGGAAGCCACGGCUAACUACGUGCCAGCAGCCGCGGUAAUACGUAGGUGGCAAGCGUUGUCCGGAAUUACUGGGUGUAAAGGGAGCGUAGGCGGGAAAGCAAGUUGAAUGUUUAAGGUACGGGCUCAACCUGUACAAGCGUUCAAAACUGUUUUUCUUGAGUGGAGUAGAGGUAAGCGGAAUUCCUAGUG